ACUUCUAUGAAAAAAAAAUCUCCCAAAAUAUACCUUCAAUUAAGUUAAACUCAGAUCCUAUGCCAUCAUACUCACAAUUAUCUCAACCUCGACUUGUUACUCAAGUCAUGAGUCGGUCUAAAGACAUAUUAGUAUGAAAAUGUGGCAAACAAUAAAAGUUUCGAAAAUAAAACGUGGAAAACAAUAAUAAUCGCAUAAUUGAAAAUAGUUCACUUUUAUUUCACUACAAGAAAAAUGGGCUUUAAUAGCAGCGAAGGAUAACGUUUUUUGUCUUUCUGCUAUGGUUGACAUACCUGUUAGUUUUAGAUAGCGUUUGUAUGUUUAGAAACGCAAUGAUAGAGUUGUAUAUUUAAAAACGCUAUGAUAGCGUAUUUUUAGUAGCGCAUUAUUAAAAACGCUAUCUUUGACUUUUUAAAUCUCUAAAUCCUAAACAAGUUUUAAACCCUAAACUUUAAACAUAACUUCAAAAUCUAACUAUUUUAAUAUCAAAUCUUAAAUUUAACCUCAAAUAUUAAAUAUAAACUCAAAAACUAUUUCUUUUUCAAUAACUAAUCUUAAAUCCCAAUACCCUAAACCUUUAACUCCAAAACCCUACACUCAAACCUUUAUUCUAAACCCAUAACUUUAAAUCUAAAAUCUAAAUUCAAAAAAAAAAACUUAAACUUAAUUCUUCAAAUAAAUUCAAAUUUAUUUUCGAAUUUUAACUUAAAUUCUUAACCUUGAACUCUUAACCUUAUAUACUCAAAUCUUAUAUAUCAUAAUAAACCUCAAACCUUCAAUUUACACAUUUAGUUAUUAAACUAAAUCAUAAAUCACAUAUCUAAUAUUCUCAAAGUUAAACACCAUACUUUGAGCUUACAUUUUUAAAAAUUUAAUAUGUUUAAAUUUUAAACCUUUAAACUAAUUUUAUUUACUAUACUCUUGUAUUUUAAACCCUUAAACUAAUUUCAUUUUACAUUUAAAGUAAAUCAUAACUUAUAAAUAAUUUUAAAAUUUUCAGUCUAUUAUUUGAAACAUUGAACCAAACUAUAAUUACAUUAAUUAUAUAUUUUUUUCGGUCGAAAUUAUAUAAAUAUUUAACUUAAUUAUUAUAUGUUUGGUUUAUCUUUUUCUUUUUUUUCUCAUUGGUCAAUAUCUUAAACAUAAGGAUAGCAAUCUUGACCACUGAGUAUUUUUGAUCCUAUGGCUAGAAAUCACACAUCUCAUAUCUCAAUCUCUUUCUUCCUUCUUUUCUUCAUUCCUUGUCUCACGAUAUCUCUCUCUUAUUUUUUUUUUGUUACAGAUCUAAAUCUGAUCUUAUCAAAAUCUUUUUAAAUUCUUUGGAUCUCUUCUUCCUCAAUCACCACCACCACACGACGACCCGUUUGUUUUCGCCGUCCCAGCAUCACAACCACCACCACACGACGACCCGUUUGUUUUCGCCGUCCCAGCAUCACCACCACCACACAACCACGGGAUGGAGGAAGCAAGGCAAGGCAGGUAUGGUGGCUGGAGGAGGAAGAUGACGGCUUCAUAUUCAGGAAGAGGAAGCUGACCGCGAGUUGGUGAGGAGGCGACGAGAUUAGGUCUAGAUGGAUGUGACGUUUGCCUCCUCUCUGCAACUUGCCUCUCAAAUCCCACGAUGAAGAAGAAGAAUCAUGGCUGGAUACUGAUGAAGGUCAUGGAAAAACACGAAGACGAAGGUGGUGGUGCGGCCGGUAGAUGAAGAAGACAACGAAGUGGUGGUGUGUUUAGUUAGUAAUUAGGUUAAAGCCUGGUUUAGUUUUUGGUUUAUUUAGUUUGUUGGUUUAUUAUUUAAUCUGAUUUUUUUUUUGUAUUUUUGUAAACCAAUUUAAUUAUAGAUAAAUUUAAGUAAUAAAGAAAAUUUGAUUC